rnacentral:rRNA from 1 species
AGGAUGAACGCUGACGGCGUGCUUAACACAUGCAAGUCGAACGAUGAAGGCUGGAGCUUGCUCUGGCUGGAUUAGUGGCGAACGGGUGAGUAACACGUGAGUAACCUGCCCCAGACUCUGGGAUAAGCGCUGGAAACGGCGUCUAAUACCGGAUACGAGCUUCCACCGCAUGGUGAGGAGCUGGAAAGAUUUCGGCUGGGAUGGACUCGCGGCCUAUCAGCUUGUUGGUGAGGUAAUGGCUCACCAAGGCGACGACGGGUAGCCGGCCUGACGAGGGUGACCGGCCACACUGGGACUGAGACACGG